ACGACUCACAGCAACAGAUAUCUUGGCUCUUGCAAUGAUGAAGAACACAUCGAAAUGGGAUAUGUAGUGUGAAUUGCAGAAUUCCGCGAAUCAUCGAGUCUUUGAUUUCAAGUUGCGCAUACGGCUCGUCUAAGGGCAUGCCUUCCUGAGCGUCCCC
rnacentral:rRNA from 1 species